rnacentral:rRNA from 1 species
UACGUAGGGGGCGAGCGUUGUCCGGAUUUAUUGGGCGUAAAGAGCUCGUAGGCGGCUUGGCAAGUCGGGUGUGAAACCUCCAGGCUCAACCUGGAGACGCCACUCGAUACUGCUAUGGCUAGAGUCCGGUAGGGGACCACGGAAUUCCUGGUGUAGCGGUGAAAUGCGCAGAUAUCAGGAGGAACACCGGUGGCGAAGGCGGGUCUCUGGGCCGAUAUCGACGCUGAGGAGCGAAAGCGUGGGGAGCGAACAGG